AGCGAACGCUGGCGGCAGGCCUAACACAUGCAAGUCGAACGGACCCUUCGGGGUUAGUGGCGGACGGGUGAGUAACACGUGGGAACGUGCCUUUAGGUUCGGAAUAGCUCCUGGAAACGGGUGGUAAUGCCGAAUGUGCCCUUCGGGGGAAAGAUUUAUCGCCUUUAGAGCGGCCCGCGUCUGAUUAGCUAGUUGGUGGUGUAACGGACCACCAAGGCGACGAUCAGUAGCUGGUCUGAGAGGAUGAUCAGCCACAUUGGGACUGAGACACGGCCCAAACUCCUACGGGAGGCAGCAGUGGGGAAUCUUGCGCAAUGUGCGAAAGCCUGACGCAGCCAUGCCGCGUGAAUGAUGAAGGUCUUAGGAUUGUAAAAUUCUUUCGCCGGGGACGAUAAUGACGGUACCCGGAGAAGAAGCCCCGGCUAACUUCGUGCCAGCCGCCGCAGUAAUAC
rnacentral:rRNA from 1 species